UACGAAGGGGGCUAGCGUUGCUCGGAAUCACUGGGCGUAAAGGGCGCGUAGGCGGCCAUUCAAGUCGGAGGUGAAAGCCCAGGGCUCAACCCUGGAAUUGCCUUCGAUACUGUUUGGCUAGAGACCGGAAGAGGUAAGUGGAACUGCGAGUGUAGAGGUGAAAAUUCGUAGAUAUUCGCAAGAACACCAGUGGCGAAGGCGGCUUACUGGUCCGGUUCUGGACGCUGAGGCGCGAAAGCGUGGGGAGCAAACAGG
rnacentral:rRNA from 1 species